UUAAACAUGGUGAAUAGGAAUAGUAAAUUUCAUCUUUAUUUGGAGAGAGUCAGCGGUUGCUGCGAGCUGAUAUAAAGAGGAAUUGAAUCCGCCUAGGAAUGGUUAGUGAAUACAAGCUAAAUCGGAUUGACACCGUUAUCUGUCAUUAAAGAGGGUCAAUUUUUGACCAAUUAGGGUGGCAACGCGGGUAAUUAUUAAUCUCCCGUCCCUAAC
rnacentral:ncRNA from 1 species